AGCAUAAUCAUUAGUUUUUUAAUUGAAGGCUAGAAUGAAUGGUUGGACAAGAAAUAAUCUGUCUUAAUUAAAGAUAUUGAAUUUAACUUUUGAGUGAAAAGGCUUAAAUGAUCUGAAGGGACGAUAAGACCCUAUAAAACUUUAUAUUUAUGAGUAGAAAUAAGUUUUAUUUAAAGGUUACUAUUUUAUAAUAUUUGGUUGGGGCGACAGGGAUAAAAGAAAAAAUAACUGUCUUUUUUUUUAACAAUUAUAUUUGGUUUAAUGAUCCUAAAAUGGAUUAAAGAUUAAGUUACUUUAGGGAUAACAGCGUAAUUUUCUUUAAGAGUUCUUAUCGACAGGAAAGUUUGCGACCUCGAUGUUGAAUUAAAAGUUCUUUAUAGAGUAGAGACUAUAAUAGAAGGUCUGUUCGACCUUUAAAAUUUUACAUGAUUUGAGUUCAGACCGGUGUGAGCCAGG
rnacentral:rRNA from 1 species